GUUUUUAACACAUCUACUUAUAAAAAUCUGUGAUUUCAUAUUAAGUGAUGAAUGGGUACAACUUUAUGAUACAAUUUUUUUCUUUUUUCUUUUUCAGGUUAAUGACACCAGAGAGUGAGAUCAGAUUUGUCCAUAAGGAGAUGGGCAUAAUACCAAGCUGGGGUGGCACUACCCGGCUGGUUGAAAUAAUUGGCAGUAGACAAGCUCUCAAAGUAUUAAGUGGGGCCAUCAAACUGGAUUCAAAACAAGCUCUAAACAUAGGAAUGGUCGAAGAUGUCUUGCAAUCUUCAGAUGAAACUAAAUCUCUAGAAGAGGCUCAAGAGUGGCUAAAGCAAUUUAUCAAAGGGCCACCAGAAGUAAUUAGAGCUUUGAAAAAAUCUGUUUGUUCAGGCAAAGAGCUAUAUUUAGAGGAGGCAUUACAGAAUGAAAGAGAUCUUUUAGGAACACUUUGGGGUGGACCUGUAAAUUUAGAGGCUAUUGCUAAGAAAGGAAAAUUUAAUAAAUAGUUUUUAAAAAUGUGGACAAACUAUAAAGCUCCAAUGAUAUGUGUUAACAUUAAAUGGUAUUAAAUGUGAACAUCAGAAUUACUUUGAAGGCUACUACUAAUAUUCUGAUUGUUUUUAAUAAU